rnacentral:misc_RNA from 1 species
AAAAAAAAAAAACUCUAGAUUCUCAUAGAUAUUGAACAAGAGGUUGGAAAAUUGAAUGUAAUACAUAUAGUUACCUUAGAAAACGCUACAAAGUUGAAUGAAGUUAACAGAACUUUACAUCUUUAAGAGUAUUUGUAAAGAAUGGUGGGUAUAUCAAUUCUAGCAACAAAUGAACAAAUAAAAAAAAUGAACUAAUUAGGAGUGAGCCAAAUAGCUCUUGACUCCAUAUCAAACACAAAAACAAGGGUGGAAUUUUUCAUUGCAACUAAGGUAAUCUAGGGUAACGAACUUCCAUCAUUUCAGAUCAAAACGAACUUCCAACUGUGACAAUCAGAAGUUAAAAUCUCUAAUCAGAAGUAUUCUACUAAGUAUCAGUCAACUAAUUCCACCCAAAGGAGUAUGAACAAGAACUAACCGACUAAGAAGAUCUUGGUAAUGUGGGAGGGAUUUACAUCCUAAAGAUGACUAAACUCGACACAUAAUCAAAAGAGCAUUAACUGCUUUUUAAAGCAAGACUUCAAUAAUUAACGACAACCCAUUUUCCCAAACUGCAUUCUAAGCGUUUUAGACCAACCGAAAGGAAAUGGGCAUUGACAAAACAGUCCCACCGACUAGAAACAGCAAGAUUAGCGAGAACCCAUAAUUGAAAACACAAACACACAGCUUCAGAACAGAACUUUCAAUGAAAUGAACAUUAACCAAACAGAGAAAGAUUAAAGCAAGAAGGCUUAAAUCCCCAGAUUACAUUAUUCAAAAGAACAAAAAAGACACACAAAACGGGAAAAAGGCAGAGAGAAAAGGAAAAUGAUGAAAAUGGUUCACAGUUACAUGACCUGAAACAGCAGAUACACAAGAAAUACAAAGGAAAAAAGGGAUUCAGAAACACAUAGAACAAGGAUCAAAGCAAAUAAGAGAGAAAAUUGGAACUGAAUUGAGCAAUGGGGAAUUGGGGAAUGAUA